CUUGCUUUCUUUGCUGGCGACCGGCGCACGGGUGAGUAACACGUAUCCAACCUGCCCUUUACUCGGGGAUAGCCUUUCGAAAGAAAGAUUAAUACCCGAUGGGAUAAUUAUUCCGCAUGGUUUGAUUAUUAAAGGAUUCCGGUAAAGGAUGGGGAUGCGUUCCAUUAGGUUGUUGGUGAGGUAACGGCUCACCAAGCCUUCGAUGGAUAGGGGUUCUGAGAGGAAGGUCCCCCACAUUGGGACUGAGACACGGUCCAA
rnacentral:rRNA from 1 species